rnacentral:lncRNA from 1 species
AGCAUUGUUUUAAUGCUUUGAUGAAGCUCAGCACGCUGCCGAAAUCUCGGCAGUAUUUUUUCUUUUCUUUUUGCAUGUGAGAGAAAGGACAACAAAUUGCAGUUUUAUCCAUUUGUAUUAUUUCUUUAGAAAACUCAACACUCUUUUUGUUGGAGGUGGGGAAAUGAGAAGGUGAUGUUUUGUUUUGCUUUUUUUCCUAUUUUUUUUUUUUAAAGGAGGAGAAGAUGACAGUGUUCUCCCUAAGGAUGAAGUUUGACUUUUGAAACAUAUCACAUGCUUAAAGCACAUUUGAGCUCCUGCAUGAACAGUAAGCUAGCAGAUGGUAGAAAUAUUCUUUAUUAAUUCAAAAAAUAUUUACUGCGGACCUACAAUGUGCCAAGCAUGUCUCCUGACACUGGGGAUAAGCAGUGAACAACAACAAAAAGACAAACUUCUUCCACCCUGAGGCGUAUGUUCUCGGUCUUUGUGGGAAGAAACAAAUCACAAAAGCAAUUAAGAGAGCUCAAACAAUGGACAGCAAGAC